GUUGCGAUCUUGGAUGUGAGGUGUGCUGGAGCUUGUUUCCGGCUCCCUUUUAAAUGCAUCAGCGGAGGCACUCGCUUCCGGCGCACUGACGUGAUAAUUAUCUUCGUCAUUGUCCGGUCUUGAGUCCGCUUAUAAUCGUCUUUCGAGACAUUUUAUGACAAUUUGACCUCAAAUCAGGUAGGACUACCCGCUGAACUUAA
rnacentral:misc_RNA from 1 species